rnacentral:rRNA from 1 species
GAUGAACGCUAGCUACGGGCUUAACACAUGCAAGUCGAGGGGAAACGACAUCGAAAGCUUGCUUUUGAUGGGUGUCGACCGGCGCACGGGUGAGUAACGCGUAUCCAACCUGCCCACCACUUGGGGAUAACCUUGCGAAAGUAAGACUAAUACCCAAUGAUAUCUCUAGAAGACAUCUGAAAGAGAUUAAAGAUUUAUCGGUGAUGGAUGGGGAUGCGUCUGAUUAGCUUGUUGGCGGGGUAACGGCCCACCAAGGCAACGAUCAGUAGGGGUUCUGAGAGGAAGGUCCCCCACAUUGGAACUGAGACACGGUCCAAACUCCUACGGGAGGCAGCAGUGAGGAAUAUUGGUCAAUGGGCGAGAGCCUGAACCAGCCAAGUAGCGUGCAGGAUGACGGCCCUAUGGGUUGUAAACUGCUUUUAUAAGGGAAUAAAGUGAGUCUCGUGAGACU